rnacentral:tRNA from 1 species
GGAGACUUAGCUCAGCUGGGAGAGCAUCUGCCUUACAAGCAGAGGGUCGGCGGUUCGAUCCCGUCAGUCUCCACCA